AUUCCCUACUCUUUUACCCCAAAUACCAUUCCCGUUCGCACCCUUUACUGCAGAAACACCCAUCACCAGUCGUCCUCAUUUCCUCCCAAUCAUUCGGGUCAUAUAUCUCACUCCAAUAUUAUCUUCCACAAACAAAGCAAGAAAUAGAGAAAACUCAAAACAGUCACACCACUCAGUUUAUUCAAAGCCAGAGCCACAGAACCACCAAGUGUGGCGUGAGUUCAGUCAGGGCUAGGAGGGGUUGAAGCAGGGAGAGCGGCGACAGAGGCUGAAGGGCUGCUGCUGUCCGGAUCGAAGGAGAAGGGGGCGGCGACAAUUUUUGCCGUUCGCCGUGGGAAUAGAGAGGGAGACGGGAUCGUUGAUGGUGAGGAUCGGAAAACGGCGGAGGCUGCUGCCCGUUCCGAUGAGAGAACGAGGGAGAUGGAGAUGGUGGAGGGCGGCGGUGACAGCGGGCCUGGUGGCUGAUGCUGUUGUCGCCGGACGAGAGUAGGGCGGCGAUUCUCGCCGUGAAUCGAGGGUGAAGCGGUGGCAGCCGUUGCUUGUUGUCGAGUGACAGGAAAGGGAGGGGAUUUCAGAGAGACU